UGGGGAAUUUUACACAAUGGGCGAAAGCCUGAUGUAGCAACGCCGCGUGGAGGAUGACGGAUCUAGGUCUGUAAACUCCUUUUAUAAGGGAAGAAAUUUGACGGUACCUUAUGAAUAAGCACCGGCUAACUCCGUGCCAGCAGCCGCGGUAAUACGGGGGGUGCAAGCGUUACUCGGAAUCACUGGGCGUAAAGGGAGCGUAGGCGUUUUAUUAAGUCUUGAGUGAAAGCUCGCAGCUCAACUGCGGAACUGCUCAGGAAACUGAUAGAAUUGAGUAUGGAAGAGGUAGGUGGAAUUUCCGGUGUAGGGGGUAAAAUCCGUAGAUAUCGGAAGGGAUACCAGAAGCGAAGGCGACCUACUGGGACAUUACUGACGCUGAGGCUCGAAAGCGUGGGGAGCAAACAGGAUUAGAUACCCUGGUAGUCCACGCCCUAAACGAUGAACACUAGUCGUUACGGAGCUAGUCUCUGUAGUGACGCAGCUAACGCAUUAAGUGUUCCGCCUGGGGGAGUACGGUCGCAAGAUUAAAAACUCAAAUGAAUUGAC
rnacentral:rRNA from 1 species